GGGUUGUGAGGUUAAGCGACUAAGCGUACACGGUGGAUGCCCUGGCAGUCAGAGGCGAUGAAGGACGUGCUAAUCUGCGAUAAGCGUCGGUAAGGUGAUAUGAACCGUUAUAACCGGCGAUUUCCGAAUGGGGAAACCCAGUGUGAUUCGUCACACUAUCAUUAACUGAAUCCAUAGGUUAAUGAGGCGAACCGGGGGAACUGAAACAUCUAAGUACCCCGAGGAAAAGAAAUCAACCGAGAUUCCCCCAGUAGCGGCGAGCGAACGGGGAGGAGCCCAGAGCCUGAAUCAGUGUGUGUGUUAGUGGAAGCGUCUGGAAAGGCGCGCGAUACAGGGUGACAGCCCCGUACACAAAAAUGCACAUGCUGUGAGCUCGAUGAGUAGGGCGGGACACGUGGUAUCCUGUCUGAAUAUGGGGGGACCAUCCUCCAAGGCUAAAUACUCCUGACUGACCGAUAGUGAACCAGUACCGUGAGGGAAAGGCGAAAAGAACCCCGGCGAGGGGAGUGAAAAAGAACCUGAAACCGUGUACGUACAAGCAGUGGGAGCACAGAGCAAUCUGUGUGACUGCGUACCUUUUGUAUAAUGGGUCAGCGACUUAUAUUCUGUAGCAAGGUUAACCGAAUAGGGGAGCCGAAGGGAAACCGAGUCUUAACCGGGCGUUAAGUUGCAGGGUAUAGACCCGAAACCCGGUGAUCUAGCCAUGGGCAGGUUGAAGGUUGGGUAACACUAACUGGAGGACCGAACCGACUAAUGUUGAAAAAUUAGCGGAUGACUUGUGGCUGGGGGUGAAAGGCCAAUCAAACCGGGAGAUAGCUGGUUCUCCCCGAAAGCUAUUUAGGUAGCGCCUCGUGAAUUCAUCUCCGGGGGUAGAGCACUGUUUCGGCAAGGGGGUCAUCCCGACUUACCAACCCGAUGCAAACUGCGAAUACCGGAGAAUGUUAUCACGGGAGACACACGGCGGGUGCUAACGUCCGUCGUGAAGAGGGAAACA
rnacentral:rRNA from 1 species